AGCUUGCUCUCUUGGCGGCGAGUGGCGGACGGGUGAGUAAUAUAUCGGAACGUGCCCAGUAGCGGGGGAUAACUACUCGAAAGAGUGGCUAAUACCGCAUACGCCCUACGGGGGAAAGGGGGGGAUCGCAAGACCUCUCACUAUUGGAGCGGCCGAUAUCGGAUUAGCUAGUUGGUGGGGUAAAGGCUCACCAAGGCAACGAUCCGUAGCUGGUUUGAGAGGACGACCAGCCACACUGGGACUGAGACACGGCCCAGACUCCUACGGGAGGCAGCAGUGGGGAAUUUUGGACAAUGGGGGAAACCCUGAUCCAGCCAUCCCGCGUGUAUGAUGAAGGCCUUCGGGUUGUAAAGUACUUUUGGCAGAGAAGAAAAGGUAUCCCCUAAUACGGGAUACUGCUGACGGUAUCUGCAGAAUAAGCACCGGCUAACUACGUGCCAGCAGCCGCGGUAAUACGUAGGGUGCAAGCGUUAAUCGGAAUUACUGGGCGUAAAGCGUGUGUAGGCGGUUCGGAAAGAAAGAUGUGAAAUCCCAGGGCUCAACCUUGGAACUGCAUUUUUAACUGCCGAGCUAGAGUAUGUCAGAGGGGGGUAGAAUUCCACGUGUAGCAGUGAAAUGCGUAGAUAUGUGGGAGGAAUACCGAUGGCGAAGGCAGCCCCCUGGGAUAAUACUGACGCUCAGACACGAAAGCGUGGGGAGCAAACA
rnacentral:rRNA from 1 species